AGAGUUUGAUCCUGGCUCAGGACGAACGCUGGCGGCGUGCUUAACACAUGCAAGUCGAACGGGAUCCAAAGGCUUUUUGUUUUUGGUGAGAGUGGCGAACGGGUGAGUAACACGUGAGUAACCUGCCCCCUUCUUUUGGAUAACCGCAUGAAAGUGUGGCUAAUACAGGAUAAUCCAGGCUGGUCGCAUGAUUGGUUUGGGAAAUGCUUUGUUGUGGUGGGGGAUGGGCUCGCGGCCUAUCAGCUUGUUGGUGGGGUGAUGGCCUACCAAGGCGGUGACGGGUAGCCGGCCUGAGAGGGUGGGCGGUCACACUGGGACUGAGAUACGGCCCAGACUCCUACGGGAGGCAGCAGUGGGGGAUUUUGCACAAUGGGCGCAAGCCUGAUGCAGCGACGCCGCGUGAGGGAUGAAGGCCUUCGGGUUGUAAACCUCUUUCGCUGGGUUGAAAGGCCAUGCUUUGGGUGUGGUUGAUUUGAACUGGUAAAGAAGUACCGGCUAACUACGUGCCAGCAGCCGCGGUAAUACGUAGGGUACUAGCGUUGUCCGGAUUUAUUGGGCGUAAAGGGCUUGUAGGUGGUUUGUCGCGUCUGUCGUGAAAUCCUGUGGCUUAACCAUGGGCUUGCGGUGGGUACGGGCAGGCUUGAGUGCGGUAGGGGAGACUGGAAUUCCUGGUGUAGCGGUGGAAUGCGCAGAUAUCAGGAGGAACACCGGUGGCGAAGGCGGGUCUCUGGGCCGUUACUGACACUGAGGAGCGAAAGCGUGGGGAGCGAACAGGAUUAGAUACCCUGGUAGUCCAUGCUGUAAACGUUGGGCACUAGGUGUGGGGGCCGUGUGGUUUCUGCGCCGUAGCUAACGCAUUAAGUGUCCCGCCUGGGGAGUACGGCCGCAAGGCUAAAACUCAAAGGAAUUGACGGGGACCCGCACAAGCGGCGGAGCAUGCGGAUUAAUUCGAUGCAACGCGAAGAACCUUACCAAGGCUUGACAUGCACCGGUACAGUGUAGAGAUAUGCUGGCCUUUUUGGCUGGUGUGCAGGUGGUGCAUGGUUGUCGUCAGCUCGUGUCGUGAGAUGUUGGGUUAAGUCCC
rnacentral:rRNA from 1 species